rnacentral:rRNA from 1 species
GAUGAACGCUAGCGGCAGGCUUAACACAUGCAAGUCGAGGGGCAGCACGGUAGCAAUACUGGUGGCGACCGGCAAACGGGUGCGGAACACGUACGCAAUUUACCCUUAUCUGGGGGAUAGCCCGGAGAAAUCCGGAUUAAUACCCCAUAAUAUAUAUGGAUGGCAUCAUCUGCAUAUUAAAGCUCAGGCGGAUAAGGAUGAGCGUGCGUCCCAUUAGCUAGUUGGUAGGGUAAAGGCCUACCAAGGCGACGAUGGGUAGCUGGUGUGAGAGCACGACCAGCCACACGGGCACUGAGACACGGGCCCGACUCCUACGGGAGGCAGCAGUGAGGAAUAUUGGUCAAUGGACGCAAGUCUGAACCAGCCAUGCCGCGUGGAGGAUGAAGGCCUUCUGGGUUGUAAACUUCUUUUAUCGGGGAAGAAAUUAUGGUUUCUACUAUAACCGACGGUACCCGAGGAAUCAGCACCGGCUAACUCCGUGCCAGCAGCCGC